UACGGAGGUGGCAAGCGUUGUUCGGAAUUACUGGGCGUAAAGGGCUCGUAGGCGGCCAACUAAGUCGGACGUGAAAUCCCUCGGCUUAACCGGGGAACUGCGUCCGAUACUGGAUGGCUUGAGUUUGGGAGAGGGAUGCGGAAUUCCAGGUGUAGCGGUGAAAUGCGUAGAUAUCUGGAGGAACACCGGUGGCGAAGGCGGCAUCCUGGACCAACACUGACGCUGAGGAGCGAAAGCCAGGGGAGCAAACGGG
rnacentral:rRNA from 1 species